AAUCUAAUGGCCCAGAAUGAUGGUGAAAAGGGUAGCCUGGCAACCACCGGAGGGGGAAGGAACGACGUUGGAGAAUCUUCAAAGCCACAUUCUCAGAUAACUCUCAUUAUUUGACCUGUCUGGUGGGAAGAUCCUGUCUGGAGCAUCCCUAGAAGAUCUUACUUGGAAGUAAACCGAGGCACAGGGACAGAAAGGAGCUCGUCCUAAGUUACAGAGCCAGGAAGGAGUAGGGCCAGCCUUCAAUUCAGCCUGUCGACCCGUGCUCAUAACGUCACAAGGAAUAUGCCCCUGGCCCUAAGGAUUCUGGAAACUUCUGUUCCCCAGCCAGAUUCCCCAGUCAACGUGGACACGUAACUGGAUGGGGCUGUA